CGGACCGGCAUCCCCCGCAGCCCGGAAUCCCAGGAGUGGUCGCUGAACCCUCACCCUGCGGAGCUCCUGGGCGCCCAGAGAUGAAAAAAUUGAGAUUCAGAGCGGUGUAAUGAACUGAGGUCAUGCUGCUGGUAGGUGGAGCAGCCUCCAGAUGAGCAAAAAGGAAGAACUCUGGCAUUUCCCACUUCCUCAGCAUCCUCCGCCUCUUCAGCUGCUCACACCAGCUCUGGGAUGCAGAUGUACCAGCAGCCAGAAGCAGCCCAAUCCAUGAAACCAUUUUCUCCUUCCCUCCUAUGCCUCCCGUCUGUCCCUGCUCAGGGGAAAACAGGGGGUCCAGGCCGGGGCGAGACAGCUGUCCAGCGCCUCCCUUUCCUGCGCUGCCCUCACCUUCUCUGUUAAAUGGC